AUCAUACUCCUUCCGUCCUAAAAUUCUUGUCUUAGAUUCGUCUAGAUACGGAUGUAUCUAAUACUAAAACGUGACUUGAUACAUCCGUACUUAGACAAAUCUAAGACAAGAAUUUUGGGACGGAGGGAGUACUUG
rfam:Triticum aestivum genome assembly, contig: Triticum_aestivum_CS42_TGACv1_scaffold_160473_2DL